rnacentral:lncRNA from 1 species
GCCUUCUUAGAGGAGCAAUUUCACCCCCUUUGAAAUAAUAAUAAUAAUAAUAAUAAUGAAAUUUGCUGGGUUUUUUUUCCAGUGAAGCCAGAUGAAGCCUUUUGCUGACUGUUGGCUGGGUAAGAAGAAUCACCUUGGGCAGGGUGCAACACCUCAAUUUGAAGCUGGACUCCUAUGGAGCCUCUUUUCUAAACUUGAGGCUGCAGAGGAUUACCUGUUCUUGGGAAACCAGCAGCAAGGAUGGAGAAUAAGGGGAGCCUUAAUUCUUUCUACUGAGAGCUGCACACUCCAGUACUAGAGGACUUUGACAGAAAUGGAGGAAUACCAAGAUACAGCUGAAGCCUUCACUGCCUUGGAACCAGAUCUUCCAUUUAGUAAUAGUAACCACAUCUGAGACGCCACGUGUCUACCUGUUUGAGGAAACACCCUGUGCAUGUUUGGGAGGUAAGGUCACACUGAAUUGGGAAAGGAGUUCAUGCUGAAUUGAGCUC